rnacentral:lncRNA from 1 species
GGACAUGGCAUGGAACGUGUGUGCGGAAAAGUUCGAACAUCAAGUGACCCUUGAAGCGCUACAACACUUAAAUGCACUCUUUCAGGAGUAUGAGAAAAGAGGAAGACAGCUGUUGGAUAUGGAGACUUUCAAAUGCAUAAUGAAGCAGAGCAUGAGGUUACAGAAUAAAAGUACUGAACAAAUAGAACAACUUUUCAUGAAAAUAGACUAUGAAGCAGUGGGCAGAAUUCAUUGGGAUGGCUUCUGCACAUAUCUGCAGUUAGCAUAUUUGGAGCAAGCUGAUGCUUUGGCUCGACAGAAAGAGGUUUCCUUCCAGCUGCCUGCUGUGCUGCAGGGACUGUCGUACGGGGGACCCGUGCUGCGCAUUCUCUCUGUGCCUGAUGACACCUUAAUCAUGAUCAGAGAAGAUGGAGCCAUUUAUUUCUGGUCCCUGCAGCUGAAGUUGAAAAGAAGAAAGCGAGUUUUUGACAAGCCCAUCAUUCGGAAGCGCCGGUGGGUGACGGAUGCCACCAGCAUGCCACAGUACAACAAACUGAUCCUAGGAACUGGAAACCGCGAAAUCCAGCUGUAUGAGUUCUCUAACUUGGAGCCUUACUGUCAGAUUGGUGGCCUGGAAGCUGUCCCUCUGAAACUGGACUACUGGUACGAGGAUCCUGACAAGUGCCUGAUUAUCUAUGGUGAUGACCAGGCUGAAAAAAAACUUAAAAUGAAGGUAGCCUUAAAGAGUUCAUGUUGCCAUCUAGCAAAGUGAUGAGUUGUGCUCCAGAGGGAAAUAAGUUCAGAAGCAUUGGCUGUGCCUGUCUCACCUAACAUCGCCUCACCAUCCUUCAUCGGCUUUCAGAGUCUUCACGGUUUGGAAUCAGGGAUGAGCAUAAGGGAAGCUACAUUGGCAACAUGGCGACAAAAGCAAGGGAAACUCAGUUCAUCAUCAUCAUAUCACAAAGGCUGUCUCCACGAGCGACUUUCCUUGGGCUUCUUCUUUUGUUGCAUCUAGCCCAGGCUUGUGCACUUGAAGAUCAUUUGAUAAUAUUCAUCAGUGUUAUGUUCAGCAUGCUAACCGGUUUCUUAAGAAGGGCAGUA